CUGCGGGCUAGACCGGGGGGUUCGGCGUCCCCUGUAACCUGAAAUCGUCGAUAUGCCGGGGUCGAAGCCUGAGAGGCAAGGUAUUCAAACUGGAGGAGGCCUCCAGGCAUGCUGUAGAAGCUUCGUCCUGCAGGACCGACGGUGGCAGAGUACCUCUCCGGAAGGGUUGGUAUAACUGCCUCUGCCAGCUGAACCCCGUGAGGCUCGGAAGAGAACAGCGGUAGGCUGGACGCUUGGUGCUUGCAGGGUUGCGGAGUGGAGGUAUGCCUGGAUGUGCGGAAUUCAGGGAGGAGCUUUCACUCUCAGGCGUGCCCGCUU
rnacentral:SRP_RNA from 1 species